rnacentral:rRNA from 1 species
GUAGGUGGCAAGCGUUGUCCGGAAUUAUUGGGCGUAAAGCGCGCGCAGGCGGUUCUUUAAGUCUGAUGUGAAAGCCCACGGCUCAACCGUGGAGGGUCAUUGGAAACUGGAGAACUUGAGUGCAGAAGAGGAAAGCGGAAUUCCACGUGUAGCGGUGAAAUGCGUAGAGAUGUGGAGGAACACCAGUGGCGAAGGCGGCUUUCUGGUCUGUAACUGACGCUGAGGCGCGAAAGCGUGGGGGAGCAAACAGGAUUAGAUACCCUGGUAGUCCACGCCGUAAACGAUGAGUGCUAAGUGUUAGGGGGUUUUCCGCCCCUUAGUGCUGCAGCUAACGCAUUAAGCACUCCGCCUGGGAGUACGGCUGCAAGGCUG